UACGUAGGGUGCGAGCGUUGUCCGGAAUUAUUGGGCGUAAAGGGCUCGUAGGCGGUCUGUCGCGUCGAAAGUGAAAACCCAGGGCUUAACCCUGGGCCUGCUUCCGAUACGGGCAGACUAGAGGUAUGCAGGGGAGAACGGAAUUCCUGGUGUGGCGGUGAAAUGCGCAGAUAUCAGGAGGAACACCGGUGGCGAAGGCGGUUCUCUGGGCCUGUACUGACGCUGAGACGCGAAAGCGUGGGGAGCGAACAGG
rnacentral:rRNA from 1 species